rnacentral:rRNA from 1 species
CUACGGGCGGCAGCAGUGAGGAAUAUUGGUCAAUGGGCGGAAGCCUGAACCAGCCAUCCCGCGUGCAGGAUGACGGCCCUAUGGGUUGUAAACUGCUUUUAUUUGCCAAGAAACCUACUUACGUGUAAGUAGUUGACGGUAGCAAAUGAAUAAGCACCGGCUAACUCCGUGCCAGCAGCCGCGGUAAUACGGAGGGUGCAAGCGUUAUCCGGAUUUAUUGGGUUUAAAGGGUGCGCAGGCGGAAAUGUAAGUCAGUGGUGAAAUACUGCCGCUCAACGGUAGGGCUGCCAUUGAUACUGCGUUUCUUGAGUAUGGGUGAGGUAGGCGGAAUGUGCGGUGUAGCGGUGAAAUGCAUAGAUAUCGCGCAGAACGCCGAUUGCGAAGGCAGCUUACUAGGCCAUUACUGACGCUGAGGCACGAAAGCGUGGGUAGCGAACAGGAUUAGAUACCCCGGUAGUC